GCUGGGCAUGGUGCCGCAUGCCUGUAAUCCCAGCUACUCAGGAGGCUGAGGCAGGAGGAUUGCUUGAACUCAGGAGGCAGAGUAUGCAGUGAGCCGAGAUCAUGGCACUGCAGUCCAGCCUGGGCAACAGAGCGAGACUCUGCCUUAA
rnacentral:sRNA from 1 species